GCCCGGUUAGCUCAAUCGGUAGAGCGUGAGACUCUUAGAUACCCUCUGGGUGAUGAGUACGCGAUCUCAAGGUUGCGGGUUCGACCCCCGCAUCGGGCU
rfam:Nectria haematococca mpVI 77-13-4 chromosome 8 genomic scaffold NECHAsca_11_chr8_3_0, whole genome shotgun sequence.